rnacentral:rRNA from 1 species
UACGUAGGGUGCGAGCGUUAAUCGGAAUUACUGGGCGUAAAGCGUGCGCAGGCGGUUUUGUAAGCCAGAUGUGAAAUCCCCGGGCUUAACCUGGGAAUGGCAUUUGGGACUGCAAGGCUGGAGUGCGGCAGAGGAGACUGGAAUUCCUGGUGUAGCAGUGAAAUGCGUAGAUAUCAGGAGGAAUACCGAUGGCGAAGUCAGGUCUCUGGGCUGACACUGACGCUCAUGCACGAAAGCGUGGGGAGCAAACAGG